rnacentral:lncRNA from 1 species
CAGCAAGUAAACCUGGGUGCACCUCUGCCUCCUGCUCAUAGUUACUUUUUUCAUGAUGAUAUAAGGAUUCAAAAUCUGGUUCGUGAACGCUUGCCCAACUUUUUCCCGUUGAUGACUGCAAACAUCAAAGGAUCUGAUCAGUGCAAUGCAUCAGUCAUUGAUUACAUGUAUUCCCUCACUUGCAUGUAUUCAUAUUUCAUAUACUAAACUACCAACUUACAUGACAUAAUGGUGUGAUGGCACCUCUUUUGGUGUUGCAGGGGACAGUUUAGCCAUGGAGAAAGUUCUAAACAAGCAUCUGGGAAAAAGAAUGCUGUUCCAAAUUCGACUAAGAGC